UGUAGCUCAGUGGUGGAGUCAUGCUUAGCAUGCAUGAGGUCCUGGGUUCGAUCCCCAGCA
rnacentral:tRNA from 1 species